ensembl:lncRNA
UCAAAUCGGUUUCUGAAAAAUGUUCUUUUUUUCCUCCCUCUGCUUGCUUCUUACUGUCUUUGAGGCCGAUCGGGACCAGCACUCCUGUCUUUGGACAGAAAGACAUCAACUCAGUGAUAAGUAUUUUGGUUUUCCAAUAUAUUAGCAAUUGUCAGUGACAUUUAUAUUAAUCAGGCUGAACUUUAAUCAUACUUUAGAUCCGCCUGUUUUACUUAUUUUUUUAUUUGUGCUUUGGUUUGGGGAAGUUGUUUCUUCACUGAUCUUUUCCUGUCUUCUGUUAUUAGACUUGGGAUGUGACUGCACUAUGCUGUUGCUAGUGACUCCAGUUAAUUCUACAAGACAUGCUGUGACAACAGGAGAGAUGAGUCCUCCAUCACAGAUGGUGUGGUCAGUGAAGAUGGUCGCCUGCAGGUUCAAGCUCAUUGCAUCGCCAACCCACAUCCACUGUACUUAAGGGAAGUUAAAGACUUUCUUCUGCACCUACAUUUGGAUCACCUCGAUCCAUGACAGUCAUUCAGGCAGUAAUGCCUGGACUGGAAACAAGCAUCCUUAAAAUAAUACAACAUUCCAGCUCAUGUGUUGGAAUGAAAAACAAAUGUGUUGUUUAAAUCAGAGACUGCACUUGUGACAGAACGAUAAAUAUUUUAUUUUGAUUAUAUAAGUAAGUACAAAACAAACUUGUGGUAGGCCUAAACUUAUUUUCAGAAUAAUUACAUCUGAGACUUUGUUUCAUUGUAACAUAACAGUGAUGGCAAUAUAACUGUUUGUUGUUCAAGAGAACAGUGUCCAGUAUGUUGGCUGUUAUACUUUGUUGUGUUUGAAAAUAAAAGUUGGG